GUGCUCACUUCAGCAGCACAUAUACUAAAAAUGGAAUGAUACAGGGAAGAUUAGCAUGGUCCCUAUACAAGGAUGACACACUAAUUCAUUAAUCAUUCCAUAUUAAA